GAAAUGCGAUAAGUAGUGUGAAUUGCAGAAUUCAGUGAAUCAUCGAAUCUUUGAACGCACAUUGCGCCCUUUGGUAUUCCUUAGGGCAUGCCUGUUCGAGCGUCAUUUAGCAACUCAAGCUCAGCUUGGUGAUGGGCGCCUGUCCGCCUCGGUGGACUCGCCUCAAAGUCAUUGGCGGCCGUUACGUUGGCUUCGAGCGCAGCAGAAACGCGAUACUCGAGGUUCGGCGGAACGCGUCCCCCAGAAAGCCCCUUUCUCAGUUUGACCUCGGAUCAGGUAGGGAUACCCGCUGAACUUAA
rnacentral:misc_RNA from 1 species